UGCCAAAAAUGCCCAUCCCUGAUCUGUGCAUGCUCACAGUCAUCUGCACAAAACACUUCCUCUAUAAAAUUGAUAGCUAUUUAGUGCUCCCUUGCUUGCUGUGUCAAAUGUGAAUGCAUGUGUAAUGUUGCUUAUUAAAUAAUGACAACACCAAUAGUGUUUUGGUAUAUAAUUGCAAUUUAUAGGUUUCUGAAUUAAAAUUUUGUUUAAAUGUAGACAUUUUAUGUUUUCUAUAGGUGUCUGGCAAGUAAAAUUUGGACAACAAAAAAACCUAAUCUGCCUGUCUUUCUCUUUUUUCCUCUUAGUUCUUCUUCGUAAUAUAUUAACAAAACAGGAGAUGCUUAUGGACCAAAUGCGAAUUAUCAUGAAGACCCUCCAGUGUAUGCAAUCAAGUCAGGAGACAGAGAUAGGCCUAGAUCGAAAUUUGUUGCCUCUCAAAGAUCUCACUUCUCUACAGAGCAUGGAGGGCAAUCUGCGGAGUACUCCUGACCUCCAUAAGCAAUUGGUAAACACUCUGGCUCUUAAAGGUGGGGCGGACGUGCAGGAGUCUGUUUGGAGAAUCAUGCAUGGUCUGUUUACCAACUCCUUGGCGAGGAAAGUUAACAUGAGAGGAUUGAAUGGAAAGAUUAGCUUCCUACGCCUACAGAUACGAGAUGUUGUGAUUGCGGCUGUGAGACGUAACCGUCUAACAUCCGAUGCCACAGAGAAAGACAUUGAUUCCACCA